rnacentral:lncRNA from 1 species
AGCUACAGCCCAGCUGGGACACUUUCCCGGGUGGAGAGAGAGGGCGGGGGCAGCUCAGACAAGUGAAGAGACAGAACCAAGCCUGUCCCGCCGGCCGGGUCGCUAAACCAAAUACUCGCGAUGGGGAUGAUUGGUUAGGUUCUCUAGUUCAUCUAGUCUCCUAAUCCUCAGGGUUCGGGCACGGAUAAUCCAGGGCUACGUACACAUGAGUCUUCACAAGGCUGCACAAGAUCACAGUCUUGUCAGGAGGAGAAACUGAGGCUCUGGUUUAGGAGCUGCCCUCGAAUCACCAUGGAGCAGGACCGAGCGUGGGCUGCCCGCCCCUCCGCCCAGCCACCCGGCUUCUAAAUCUGGGUCUUUUCCCGCGUCUGAUCCAGAGAGGAGGGAAGGAUGUAUCAAGACAGGGUCUUUGGACAGACAGCCGUUUCAAUAGCUCCUCCUUAGAGCUGGGGUGGGAAUGCCUCUCCCCCCACAUGCCUUCAGCCUAUUGGUGAGCGGGGAGCUGGAGCAAGUGUGAGGACGUAGCCGGUUUAGAAGGAAAUAGCUUAAUCCUUGCGUGGGAUGGAGGAGGCAGGAAGAAGGGAGAUGUGAACCUGAGACCCGGGGCGUGUGACUGCGCCGUGGAAGCCUAAGGGUGUGAUGACCCUGCUGCCUGCCUCUCUCAGGGGGAUCGCCUUUGCUAACUGUGGGGGGCAGGGCGUAGGGCCCUAACGGGGGACAGGGCCUCCCGGUGGGGGCUGACCCCUCUGACUUUGUCCCCCCACUCGGAAGCCACCACCCUUGUUGUUUGCCCUCUGAGAGUCCUCCUCCCUUGGGCCGCCCCCUGCCCUCUGUCCCUGGGGCCGUGACAUUGGCAGGGUGCCCAGCGGGGCGAAGACGGCAGCUGCAGGUCCUGGUCCCCAGUACGUGUGUGAGUGUGAAUGCGAGUGGGUUGGGAUGGGGGAGCGGCGGGGCUGGGAUCCUCCGCAGAUCAGAGCUCGGGAAUAGAGAGCUUCUAGCGGGUGGGGCCGCCCUACACGCUGGAGCCCGAGGACCUGCCCCUGGGACCACCACCAGCCUCAACACCGCUGGAGGCCAGAGCACGUCGGACAGGCACUGACCAGAGGAGCCUGGGAGGAGCUGCGGGGGUGAGUCAAACUUGGGACGGACUGGGUGUGGCUGGGCUGGGCGAGAUGGGGAGAAGCCAGGGAUGGAAAAGAGCUGCAGGUGGAGCAAGAAGAGGAGGGAAACGGGAGAGCAUCCUGCCUCAGCCCUUGUUGCUGCACAGUAGCCUCGCCCCUUUCCCGGGCCCUGCCACCAGGGGGCGCUGCGGGGGGGGCUGCCAAGCAGAGCCGCAAAGGUGUGAGAUGGAGGCAGAGUUACGGCCUUGUGGGCCCCAAAGGGGACGGUGGAUGGUCACCCCGUGUCCAGCGGCAGGACAGUGGGGCUCCCAGCCCAGGGUCCGGGUUCCUAGACCCUCCGCUCCUGCUGUCGGGGAGGGAGGAGCAGGCAGAGGGAGCUGAUCUGCCCAAGACCGCAGUGUGGCCUUUACCCCUGGGUGCCCACCAUGGCCCAGGCCCUGGAGAAGCUCUGGAAUAAAUACCUGUAGGCCUUAGAAAAGGGAGGUAGGAGGUGGUGUCACCUGAUAGUGGCUUUCCUUUGUCUAUUCCACCAGACAGAUGCCCGUCGUUUGGAGCAAGAGGAGAUGGUGACCAGCAGAGCCCCGGGAGCUGCCAGGGAGGGCUGGGUGGCAGGUGGGCCUGGUGGCCAGCUCCACUGCCCCCUUUCUUCUUGCUUUGCCAGACCUGAGGACCCAUUCCUGGUUCCUGGUACGCUCGCUGCUGCCUGUCACCCUCCUCUGGGCCUUCGACCUCCUCCUGGUGGUGGAGGGCCCCCGUCUCAUGUCCCAUGAGGAGCCUUUGAGGCUGGCAGGACCCCUGGCUGCCUACAACCUGGGCCUGAUGGUUCUCUCGGGGCACAUGUUCUAUGAGGUAAGGGCCCUGCAGAGUCCUAGGCUCUCUUUUUUUUGGGGGGGGGGUGACAGGGGAUAAAUAAAACCAUAAUCUUGCUAUGCAGAAAAGCUUUGAUGAGGACCCAUGGGGACCAGAGGCCAGGCCAUUUUGGGCUGCACUGUCUUCCUGGUGGAGACAGAAACCCCCGUCCCCUCACUCCCAUUCUCCUUUUCCUUUAAUGAAGAAAUAAGGGUCAGUGGCAAGCGAGAACGGAGUCCAUUCUCCACCUCACACCUAAAAGAACCCUCCACCCCCUCCUGGUUCUGCCUGGCCCAGUUUUCUGAGCCCUAAACCCAGUGAUCUUUCCAGAAGCCUUGCUUGCAGCCAACAGUCCAUCAGCCGGUGUGCACUGGGCAUGCGCCUUGUGCCAGGCGGGCCGAAUCCACAGGAUGACCGCUGGGUAAGGCACCCCGCCCUCCAGGUGUCCAUGAUCUAGGGGGAGAUAGAUGGCGGAAACAGGAGGUUAGGAGAGGUGAGAGGAGGGGACAGGGCAGGCAGGAGAGGCAGGGCCCCAGCUGGGGUGUCAGGAAAGCCCCCCAGAGAAAGUGGUUCCGGUGGCCGGUGUGUAAAGUGGUCAUUGUGGCGGCGCAGGGCCUACACCCUUUGUGAAGAUCUGCUCAUGUCGUCCUCUGUCACGGUCGUGAGGCACAGGGCAGGUAGGUACCUUGGCAGGUGGCAGAGCGCCCUGGCCUCAGAUCUCACCUCCAUCCCGCCCGGCUCGGUGCCGCAGGAACCAGCAGGUGGUCCAGCCUGAGGAAGCAGGUCCUGACAGCUAAGUCCCCUUCACCGCCUCUCCCUUAGUGGCCUGCCUCCCUUCCUCCUGCUGCACUGCUGAUGGAAUGAUCCACGUGCCAUAAGAGGCACGCCACUGUCCCCUGCCACCUUGCCGGCUUCCCAGCCAGCGGGCUGAGUCCUUCCUCCGCUGGGUGUCCAGGGCCUCCCGGGUCCCCUCUGGCCUCACCCCUCCUUCCAGCCUCACUUGCUGCACUCCCUGCGGUCGCCCUGUUCCCCUGCCUCUCAGCCCUGCUGGGUAAGGCCCCAGGCCCUGGCACAUGACUGGUUUUCUGCCUGGAAUGCCCUCCUCUUCUGGUGCCCUGACAAAUCCCCACAUGUCCCAUAGCCUCUGGCCUUUGUCACCCCUCACGAAGCUUCCCUGACUCCCCCAGGCUGGAUUAUUUGUCCCCUCCUUUGCUUUUCAUCUCUGCUCUCCCUGGUGCAGGGGGUGGCCCCACCAACCUGCCAGCUCUAAAUGUACGAGUCGUCUCCCAGUGCAGCGAUGUCCCUUGAAAUCAGCCGGUGGGGGGGAGGAAUGGGCGCACACGGCCUUCAGCCCCCUGCCCCCUGGAGCCUGUGAAAUCUUUACCAGCAAUACCCAGAUUCUAGGCUCCCCUGUUUUGCAACGGGCCUGUGUCUGCUCCAGAUGGUGAGGGUGUCAAAGGCAGGGCUGUCCCUUACUGCUCUUUGUAAAGAUGGGCCCCCAUCAUGCCUGCUACCUUGUGAGGACAUGCCCCACAGAACGUGUCAUUUUUUCUUUUUUUCUUUUUUUUUGUGUGUGUCUUUUUGCCUUUUCUUGAGCCACUCUCGUGGCAUAUGGAGGUUCCCAGGCUAGGGGUCUAAUCAGAGCUGUAGCCACUGACUUAUGCCACAGCCACGCGGGAUCCGAGCUGCAUCUGCGACCCACACCACAGCUCAUAGCAACGCCAGAUCCUUAACCCACUGAGCAAGGCCAGGGAUCGAACCUGCAACCUCAUGGGUCCUGGUUGGAUUCAUUAACCACUGCGCCACGACAGGAACUCCCAGAACGCAUCAUUUAACUGUGGUCCCAGAUGACCCCGAGGCCACCAUGAUCCUUUGAAAGUCUGACGUGCCCAUGUCAGCUUCCUGCCCAGAAGCCCUUGGUAGCUGCCUUUGCCAAGAGUGCAUAGAGUCCCUCCUGGUGGGAUUUUUCUCUGUUUUAUCAAGGUGGCUCCGGGCUCAGAGCAGGGUCCAGCAUGGAAAGAUGCUUAGAACCAGUCAGUGCUUCAUUGUCAAGGGAAUAAAUGAAUGAUAAAAUUCAAGCUCCUUAAAACAGCCUUCAAGAGCCCUCAUUCAUCGAUUCCGCUCUUUCUCUGUGUCUGGGGCUGCCCCUCCCCUACUAGGAGCCUCUACUUGCAACUCCUGGGGGUUAGGAGCUCCCUCCUCCUCCCCUCCGUGUACCCCCACCCAUCAUCGGAGAGGCUCUCAGCUUCUUGGGGCCGUGCUGAUGUGUGCAGAUCUUCCUGUCCCCUCCUGACGUCGGGUCCCAUACAUCGUAGGACCCUAGGGCGGGUUUGUGGUCCAUAUUUGCCCACAUACAAAACACUGGAGACCAGCAAGAUGCACACAAGCCCCAGCCGUUGCUCUGGCCACUCUCUGGGCUUUAUCUGACUGGCAGUCAUUCACCAAGUGUCACUGGGGGUUGGGGAGGGAUGGUUGGUGUCCAGAACGUGAUGGGAGGAGGCACCUGCCUCCAGGGCUUCAUUCAGGUCCCACCAGGGAGGGGGUGGGGCGGGCAUCACCACUUGAUCUUCUGUUCUCUUCCUCCUAGUUCAUGGCCACCUCGCUCCUGGCCAGCUACAGCUGCUUCUGCCAGCCGGUGAACUACAGCUGGAGUGAGCUGGGGUUAAGGGUAUGACAAGGAGUGGGAGGGUUGGGCCUGGAGAGAAGGGUCAUAGGAUGCAUUUCAAAAAAAACCAGAGCUCUAUCCAGGUGUCACCAUUCAAGACUUCGAUGGGAGGCCGUGAUCGGUUCAGUACAGGUUCAGAAGAUCUCACUGUGACUCUCAGCCCUGCCAGUUCCUUGCUGUGUGAUCAUGGGUUGCUUACUUACCUUAUACAGACCUCAAUUUUCUUAUCUAUAAAAUGGGAGAGUACUGCCUACUUUAUAAAAAGAAACAAUAGGAAGAAAAUGUUUGAAAGUAGUUUGCCCUGGGCCUGGCACACGCAAAGUGGUAGCUAAGUGGUAGAUAUCGGUUGUUUUUAUCUGUUCUCUCUUUCAACUGGAAGCAGAACAAAAGGCUUCCUUGCAGCACAAAAAAAUCAAGCUGAGGCUCAGCAAGUCACCAGGCAGUGAUGUGGGUAUUGAAUCAAGGAUCAUUGAACAGCGGGCUCAAGUCUUGCUGCUCAAAGUAUGGUCCACAGACCAGCGGCGUGAGCAUCUCCUGGGGGCUUGUUGGAAAAGUGGAACCUCAUGUUUCACCCCAGGCACGCUGGUUGGGAACCUGCUUUUCAACAAAAACCCUCAGGUGAUCCAUGUGCUGGUCAAGUCAUGGCUCCAGGAGUUCCCUGGUGGCCUAGCAGUUAAGGAUCUAGUGUUGUCACUACUGUGGCUUGAGUCACUGCUAUGGCUUGGGUUCAAUCCCUGGUACCGGUACUUCUGCAUCCUGCGGGUACAGCCAAAAAAGAAAAAAGGCCUGGCUCCAGUUUGGAGAAUCCUUCUGUUAUCAUUCCGAGCAGCUUCUCCCACUAUAUCCUAUGCUAAUGGGCAUUUUUUUUGCAGACAGGUAGGCACUGUGGGUGCAGGGGCUGCAGAGGGACAGUGAGGAUUGGGGCUGAAGUCAGUGUUGCCAGGGCCAGGGGUACCACCAGCAGGGUAGCAGUCUGACUGCAAUUCCCAUCUCUUCCCAGCAGAUGGCGAGCGUGUGCUGGUGGUGCUUCUCAAAGGCCAUUGAAUUACUGGUCGCGGGGAGUAAUUCACAGUGGGUGGUCAUCUUCCUAUCACGAAAGGAGUCAGAGCAAAUGAGCUUCCUGCACGUCUACCACCACAGCACCAUGCUCUUCAGAUAGUGGGCUUGGGUCAAAUAUGUGCCAGGGGUCAAGACAUACCUGAGAGGCAAGUGGGAGAAGCUGACCUACAAGGUGGGGCCAAGGACUGAAACUAGCAGAGCCCUCCCCAUGGAGAGUUUGGCGAAAGAUGAUACGGCCCACAGCCCACCCGUGCUGAGCAGAUUCCUCUGGGCAAGUAUUUCAUCCUAUGAGGAAAGGACAGUAACAAUUCUUGCCGCCUUCCCAGAGUUCAGGAGGACAGAACUGGACCCAGCUUCCUGAACGCACAUCUCAUGUGGAUUUGUCACUAUUUGCACACCUCCUUCCUCUACUAAACGUGAGUCCUGCUGAGGAGGGACUGCACUCUCAGUGGUCCCCACCCCUGGCACAGUAUCUCAAUAAAUGUGCAUUUAGAUCCCUAUAUUCCCCCAUGGGCAGUCAGGGCUGGGAGCAUGGAAGAAGGCAAGGCUGGUUUGAUCUUCCCCUUGCAGGCAGAGAGGAUGGCUGAGAAUAUCUAAUCUAAGGAGUGUGGGUCUGUGUGAUUUCUCUUGGGGCUAUGCCAACAGUUCCCCUGCACAUCUUUCUGUCUGUUCACUAUUACCUAAGGUGCAUUUACACAGUUGUAUGAUUCUGUGUGUAUGGGGCAGCAGAAAGGGCUACUCAUACAUGUCCAAAUACUUUGCUUUUGAAUACACGUGUGUUUCCAUUUAUGAUUUUCUCUGUUGGUGUUUUUUGUUUGUCUCUUCUGUAAAUCUUGGAAAGUGCCAUGCUAGCCAAAUAAAAGCUUCUGGGAUCAUUAACA